UAAUACGUAGGGGGCAAGCGUUGUCCGGAUUUAUUGGGCGUAAAGAGCGUGUAGGCGGCCAGGUAGGUGGGUUGUGAAAACUGGAGGCUCAACCUUCAGACGUCGACCCAAACCCCCUGGCUAGAGUCCGGAAGAGGAGAGUGGAAUUCCUGGUGUAGCGGUGAAAUGCGCAGAUAUCAGGAAGAACACCCGUGGCGAAG
rnacentral:rRNA from 1 species